rnacentral:rRNA from 1 species
GAUGAACGCUGGCGGCGUGCCUAAUACAUGCAAGUCGAGCGAACAGACGAGGAGCUUGCUCCUCUGACGUUAGCGGCGGACGGGUGAGUAACACGUGGAUAACCUACCUAUAAGACUGGGAUAACUUCGGGAAACCGGAGCUAAUACCGGAUAAUAUAUUGAACCGCAUGGUUCAAUAGUGAAAGACGGUUUUGCUGUCACUUAUAGAUGGAUCCGCGCCGCAUUAGCUAGUUGGUAAGGUAACGGCUUACCAAGGCAACGAUGCGUAGCCGACCUGAGAGGCUGCUCCGCCACACUGCAACUGAGACACGGUCCCAAAUCCUACCGGAGGCAGCCGUAGGGAAUCUUCCGCAAUGGGCGAAAGCCUGACGGAGCAACGCCGCGUGAGUGAUGAAGGUCUUCGGAUCGUAAAACUCUGUUAUUAGGGAAGAACAAAUGUGUAAGUAACUAUGCACGUCUUGACGGUACCUAAUCAGAAAGCCACGGCUAACUACGUG